rnacentral:rRNA from 1 species
UCCGUAGGUGAACCUGCGGAAGGAUCAUUACCGAGUGCUGGGUCCUUCGGGGCCCAACCUCCCACCCGUGCUUACCGUACCCUGUUGCUUCGGCGGGCCCGCCUUCGGGCGGCCCGGGGCCUGCCCCCGGGACCGCGCCCGCCGGAGACCCCAAUGGAACACUGUCUGAAAGCGUGCAGUCUGAGUCGAUUGAUACCAAUCAGUCAAAACUUUCAACAAUGGAUCUCUUGGUUCCGGCAUCGAUGAAGAACGCAGCGAAAUGCGAUAACUAAUGUGAAUUGCAGAAUUCAGUGAAUCAUCGAGUCUUUGAACGCACAUUGCGCCCCCUGGUAUUCCGGGGGGCAUGCCUGUCCGAGCGUCAUUUCUCCCCUCCAGCCCCGCUGGUUGUUGGGCCGCGCCCCCCCGGGGGCGGGCCUCGAGAGAAACGGCGGCACCGUCCGGUCCUCGAGCGUAUGGGGCUCUGUCACCCGCUCUAUGGGCCCGGCCGGGGCUUGCCUCGACCCCCAAUCUUCUCAGAUUGACCUCGGAUCAGGUAGGGAUACCCGCUGAACUUAAGCAUAUCAAUAAGCGGAGGAAAAGAAACCAACCGGGAUUGCCUCAGUAACUGC